CUGGAAAAUCAGAGGGAUAAAUAAAGAAUGCAGCUGAUUCCUGCCUUGUGCUGACGCCCAAGAGGGUGAGGAGAGCCAUGAGGCAUGUGGGAUCUUAGCUUCCUGCCCAGAGAUCAAACCGGCACCCCCUGCGUUGGAAGGCGAAGUCUUAACCACUGAACCACCAGGUUCACGUACACACUUCUACAACGUCUAACAUGCCGUGGAAGUUUGACUCAUUGCCCUAGUCUGAGCUGCACUGAGAAAGACCCUCGGCUUCGCAUUCCAUCUAGGACCUCCUGCCUGAAUUCAUCCUGCCUCCAGGAGAAAGUCGGCUUGCGUUCUGACUGCAACUAAAGCCCAGUUCCUCGUGGAACACUGCAGGCUUUUGAAGAGCCACAGGCCCGGAGGCCUAGCUGGGGCGUUCCUUGGUUGAGGCGGUUCACUAGAUGCAGAACACCGUGCUUCGAUGAGUUGAUUCAGGGAAGGAACCACUGGGUAACCUGUGUCUCUCUGGACUUGUUAGAAAGCACAGGGAUGUAUGCUGCGUGUGCCCAUGGAAAUGGGGGCCUGAUGGAACUAGCCUUGCUUUCCCAUUUGGAAAGCUCCAUUCAUGCUGCCUUGAAGCUACUUGAAAUUGACUGCUGUUGACAGGCCACUAGCCACUGUACGCAUGGCUCUGGGAAGAAAAUGAGUUUUCUCUAGCUAAACCGGGUGCUUCCAUGGCCGGGGUGGAGCUCAUCCUGCCAUGCUCCAGAGCUAAAGGGAAACUCAACGUGAGUACUGGCCUCGAGGUAAGGCCCUGAGUAGCCGUGCAGAAAGGGAGGCAUGCAGCUGUUUCCAUGAGGUCUUAGUCGCUGUUGUGCUUUAUUUUAAAGGAAGUACCCUUUUCAGGACUCCUAGGCCCCUCGUGUGUGCAUCAUUUUCCCUCCAAGAUCACUGAGUACCUCCAGACCGCUGUGGGCCUGCUGAGCAACAUCGAGACCCAUAGGUCGGUCCCUCGGAGGCCCUCUGGGUAUGCCGAGCAAAGGGCAACAUGCUACACUCUUCCUUAAGAGAACUAGAUUUCCUCAGCACUCCAACAGCUUUAGGAAAACGUUUCUAGCCCGUCUAACACGCCAUGGAAUUGUGCCUCAUUGCCCUAUUGUGAGCUGCACUGAAAAAGCACUGUGCUAAGCAUUCCUUCUAGGACCUCCUGCCUGAAGUCACCCUGCCUCCAGGAGAACGUCGGCUCGCGUUCCAACUGCAAGGAAAGCACAGUUCUUCGUGUAACACUGCAGGCUUUUGGAGCAAGCACAGGCCCGGAGGCCUAACUCAGGCAUUCCUUAGUUGAGGCAGUUCACUACACACAGAACACCCCGUGUAGAAACGCUGAUUCAGGGAAGUGCCCAGUGUGUAGCUCGUGUCUCUUUUCACUUGUUAGAAAGCACGUGUAAGUGUGCUGCGUGUCCGCCGGGAAAUGGGUGCCUGACGGCAGAAGCCAUUUCAUCAGAGGUGUUGGGAGUGUGUAGAGGCGUUAUAUUCCUGUUGUGUGUCCUGCAGGCAUCCCAUGAAAGACCAGAAUCUAGGUCAACUUGGGCAAGCCACUUAACUGAGCCUCAGCUUUCUUUAUUUGUAAGGUGGGCACCACAGCGCUUCCCUCCCGUAUUCAUGGCGAUAACCUGGCAACAAACGUACACCAUGUGGCCCCACUUUGAAAUCUUUAAAGAGGUCUGCCAAUAAAAGUGUCUGUAGGUUGUACCUUCCCUGCAAUGACACACCUGGUCCAAGGUGGAGAGGUUUCAGGAGUGAGCAGUUUGCCCUUCAAAUGAAUGGACAGAGCUCAGCCAGCGGCGCCCCUUCACUGAGACCCUGGCUGCCGAGGUACACACUUUCCAUGUAUCCAGGCUAGUUUCAGAUGGAGACUGAGAGGGAAAAUAGGCAGGUGUAAGGAUGCAAUCCUCAAAUCUUUGGUUUCAAAUAAUCCAUCCCAAACUGCUACCCGAGCCCCCCAGUAUCAAAAAGGAAACAUGUUAUAGACCCAGAAAAAUGUGUUUCCCAAAAGACCUAGGUUUGCCCUCAUAGUCAUCAGUAUCUAAAAUAGAAGUAGCAGUACACUUAAAAUCUUAAACUUCUAUGUAUUUAGGGACCAAAGGCAUUUUCAUCAGAAAGAAAAGGGAUUUAAUAAUGAAACCACAGAGAGAUAAAUUGUUUUCAAGCCCCUGAUAAGAGAGGGGAGAAAUGUCAACCUCGUGGGAGUUGCAGAAUCAGCAGUUAGGAUUUUUGGAUGCCAACUCUGGUGGAGAAGAGACUCCAGCCUGUACCCUCCCCACCCACCCUCCCCGGUAUGCCUGGUUAGGAGGUGAGUCCUGCAGGCACGGUGGCCCCUGGGCUGGCCGGAGCGGCAGGAUGAGUGCAGGGGUUCCUGAACAGAACAGUUUACCCUCCCUCCCCAGAGACACCUAGCAAUGUCUGGAGGGUGGGCUAGUGGCAGGUGGCCAGGGACGCUGCUAAACACACUACAAUGCCCAGGACAAAGCCCACCACAGAGAACGAUUCAGCCCAGAAUGUCAGCAGUGCUGAGGAUGAGAAACCUAUGUAUGUGGUAAUGCUGGCCUCCAGGAGAAGUUCAGGAGACAGCCCAACCCUCUUCCUGCCCACAAGGGGGGGAUGGUCCUCUCCUGUAGCUUGCUCCAAUUUAAGGACCUUUUGCUGUCCGCUGUUGGUGAGUGACCCGGUGCCCUGGCUUUAGGAGUCGGGGCCUGAGGGCCUCGUUAGCUCCCCGAAUUCUGUGCACUCAGAGUGCGCUUUACCCCCACGCUCCCUGCUGUUGUAGAGCAGGGUCUGAAAAGCCAGAGGGAGUGGCUGCUGGAUUUGGUGCUAGCAGGCUUGGUCUUGGCGUCACUGGUAAUGUACAGGGUGAUAUUUGGGGUAGAAAGAGACAAAUUAGGCCGAUUCGUAGCGAGGUGGUGGCUGCUCUGCGGAACGCCCCUGAGUUGCGAGGUUCUGGGACCGCUGAUCAGUAGCAGAGGUGU